rnacentral:tRNA from 1 species
UGUACGGUCGCCUACUCGGUAUGGCGCUUGCCUGUUAAGCAAGUAUAAAUGUGGGUUCGAGUCCCACCCGUACAG